rnacentral:rRNA from 1 species
CUACGGGAGGCAGCAGCAAGGAAUUUUCGGCAAUGGGCGCAAGCCUGACCCAGCAACGCCGCGUGGAGGAUGAAGGCUCUAGGGUUGUAAACUCCUUUUGUGGGGGAAAAGAGAGGAUGGUACCCCAAGAAUAAGUCACGGCUAACUACGUGCCAGCAGCCGCGGUAAUACGUAGGUGACAAGCGUUAUCCGGAAUUACUGGGCGUAAAGCGCACGCAGGCGGUGUUAUAAGUCUGAUGUGAAACCUUCUGGCUUAACCAGAAGACGUCGUUGGAUACUGUAAUACUUGAGGCGAUGAGAGGAAUGCGGAAUUCUCGGUGUAAUGGUGGAAUAUGUAGAUAUCGAGAGGAACAUCUGUGGCGAAAGCGGCAUUCUAGCAUUAGCCUGACGCUCAUGUGCGAAAGCGUGGGGAGCAAACGGGAUUAGAUACCCUGGUAGUCC